GACGAACGCUGGCGGCGUGCUUAACACAUGCAAGUCGAACGGUGAAGGGACCAGCUUGCUGGUUCUGGAUGAGUGGCGAACGGGUGAGUAACACGUGAGUAACCUGCCCCCUUCUUCUGGAUAACCGCAUGAAAGUGUGGCUAAUACGGGAUAUUCUGGGUCUGUCGCAUGGCGGGCCCGGGAAAGAUAUUGCUUCGGUGGGGGAUGGGCUCGCGGCCUAUCAGCUUGUUGGUGGGGUGAUGGCCUACCAAGGCGGUGACGGGUAGCCGGCCUGAGAGGGUGGACGGUCACACUGGGACUGAGACACGGCCCAGACUCCUACGGGAGGCAGCAGUGGGGAAUAUUGCACAAUGGGCGCAAGCCUGAUGCAGCGACGCCGCGUGAGGGAUGGAGGCCUUCGGGGUGUAAACCUCUUUCGCCAGUGAAGCAGGCCCGCUCCUUGUGGGUGGGUUGACGGUAGCUGGAUAAGAAGCGCCGGCUAACUACGUG
rnacentral:rRNA from 1 species